GACGAACGCUGGCGGCGUGCCUAAUACAUGCAAGUAGAACGCACAGGAUGCACCGUAGUUUACUACACCGUAUUCUGUGAGUUGCGAACGGGUGAGUAACGCGUAGGUAACCUGCCUGGUAGCGGGGGAUAACUAUUGGAAACGAUAGCUAAUACCGCAUAAGAACAUUUACUGCAUGGUAGAUGUUUAAAAGGUGCAAAUGCAUCACUACCAGAUGGACCUGCGUUGUAUUAGCUAGUAGGUGAGGUAACGGCUCACCUAGGCGACGAUACAUAGCCGACCUGAGAGGGUGAUCGGCCACACUGGGACUGAGACACGGCCCAGACUCCUACGGGAGGCAGCAGUAGGGAAUCUUCGGCAAUGGGGGGAACCCUGACCGAGCAACGCCGCGUGAGUGAAGAAGGUUUUCGGAUCGUAAAGCUCUGUUGUUAAGGAAGAAACGAGUGUGAGAAUGGAAAGUUCAUACGG
rnacentral:rRNA from 1 species